GACGAACGCUGGCGGCGUGCUUAACACAUGCAAGUCGAACGGAAAGGCCCUGCUUUUGUGGGGUGCUCGAGUGGCGAACGGGUGAGUAACACGUGAGUAACCUGCCCUUGACUUUGGGAUAACUUCAGGAAACUGGGGCUAAUACCGGAUAGGAGCUCCUGCUGCAUGGUGGGGGUUGGAAAGUUUCGGCGGUUGGGGAUGGACUCGCGGCUUAUCAGCUUGUUGGUGGGGUAGUGGCUUACCAAGGCUUUGACGGGUAGCCGGCUUGAGAGGGUGACCGGCCACAUUGGGACUGAGAUACGGCCCAGACUCCUACGGGGGGCAGCAGUGGGGAAUAUUGCACAAUGGGCGGAAGCCUGAUGCAGCAACGCCGCGUGCGGGAUGACGGCCUUCGGGUUGUAAACCGCUUUCGCCUGUGACGAAGCGUGAGUGACGGUAAUGGGUAAAGAAGCACCGGCUAACUACGUG
rnacentral:rRNA from 1 species